rnacentral:sRNA from 12 species
UCGCCCCCGGCGACAAGGUAGCCAUCUGUGGCUGCCUUUCUCGAUGAGGUUUCUCAUUGGAGAAUAGUCAGGGGUGUUUUA